UACGUAGGAGGCAAGCGUUGUCCGGAAUUACUGGGCGUAAAGCGUGCGCAGGCGGCUAUGCAAGACAGAUGUGAAAUCCCCGGGCUCAACCUGGGAACUGCAUUUGUGACUGCAUGGCUAGAGUACGGUAGAGGGGGAUGGAAUUCCGCGUGUAGCAGUGAAAUGCGUAGAUAUGCGGAGGAACACCGAUGCGAAGGCAAUCCCCUGGACCUGUACUGACGCUCAUGCACGAAAGCGUGGGGAGCAAACAGG
rnacentral:rRNA from 1 species